CGCCAGGCCGGCAGCCAUGUUCGGCGGCGGCGACAGGGCUCGCCUCAGCCAUGUCGGGCGGGCGGCGGGGGCUGCCGCGCCUCACUGGCGGCGGGGGGCCCGGCGGGCUGCACAGUUAUAUGCAAGAUCCAGACUGCUGGCAACGAGAACAGAAAUGUAGAAGCUGGAAUGGUUCAGGUUCUUUGGGGACUGGUGAAUAUCAAUGCAGUCAUUUAGACCACUGGCUGGAGGGCUCUGUGACAGCAAAAGAUUCUCAGCCUCUUUAUAAUUGCCCCGACUGGGAAGAUGGAAUUGAAGAAGGCAAAACAAUGAGAACGUCGGCUAGGAAAAUGACAAAUUCUGUUUCAAGUGACUCUGCUAAUCCAUCUGAAAGGGAGACAGAUGAAGUGGUUCUGAGGAGAAGACAAAAACAGAUCAAUUUUGGAAAGAACACACUUGCAUAUGACAGAUAUAUUAAAGAAGUUCCGAAGAAUCAACGAAUACCAGGAGUGCAUCCUAGAACACCCAACAAAUUUAAGAAGUACAGCCGUAGAUCCUGGGACCAGCAGAUCAGGCUGUGGAAGAUAGCACUGCACGCGUGGGAUCCUCCUAGUGAAGAGACCUGGGAUCUGCAGCCAGUUAAUACAGAACCCUCAGGCAGCUCUCAGGAAUGGUUUUGUGGAGAUGAUGAUGAUUCUGUUUUCCCCGUAUUUGAUGAAAAACUGAAGAGGAGUGAGUGUGGAAACCAACACAGACAGACAGACUAUGCACCAGAGAGUUCCUGCUCUCCUGAUUGUUCUCCAGUAUGGAAACGCAGAAAACGAAACAAUCCUGACCCUUCUGUGGUUUCAAAGGGCAAAAGCCAUUAUAUGCAUAUGUACCAUGCACUGGAAAGUUUUACUGAAUCAGGACAUCAGAAGGCUUUUUCGAAUUGUUCAGAGUGGGAGACCUUAGGCAACAAUGAUGAAGUAAUGACAGUACAACAUGGUAUAGAAAUAAGUGACCUGAUUCCAGCGACUUGUUCCUCAGGAUGGAAUGAUCAGAAACAGAAAAACACAAGCAUCCUUCUGCCUGACAGCAAAACUUUUAGAGAUUCAGACUGCAGGCUGGAGAGGCUUAAGCUUUGUAGCAGUUUACUGGAAGGACAUCAGUCAGAAUACUCUGAAAAGGGAUGGGGAAGCACUGAAGAGAGAAUAAUGACAAAAAGAAUUUAAAUACCAAGUCUGUCUUUGUAUAUAGAACUAUCAAAGAAGGACUUUCCUCCUGUGACAGAAUGAUUUGAAGAAUAGGAUAUAGCACGAGAUCAGCAGAUCAAGACUUGGAAGACUGGUAAAGUCUCAUAAAUUCUGUGCUGAAAGAAGACGACAUUUACAGUCAGCAUAUGUACAAUCAGCACAAGGUGAAAUGAGCAGGUUUCUCCAGAUCUUUAAGGAUAGAUUGUCUUCUGCGAGCUCUGCCUCAAGUGUAAAACCUCAAAUUUCAUUAAGCUUUGCUGAGAUAAUGAUGGAUGCUCCUUAAAGUUUGUGAGACUGUUUCUUCUUGACCUGCACUGACAGAUGACUUGCAUCAUACUGUAAAGGCUACUUCAGUUGAUGGCUUUUGCUGUUGCUAUUUGGAGACCGUGAUGCUUAAAGUGAACUGUUUUGCUGGUGAAUUGGUCCAAUAUCGAGUCAGAACGAAGAAUGCUUCCUGUUAAACCAAGGACUUAAACCCUCUUUCUCCUACUGGACCAGAAUUGUACAUGCAACCUGGAGAACUGCUUCAAAAGAAUGUAGAUAAUUCCAGCCUGUCUUCAGUUGCUAAAAACAGACUGCUUUUAACUUUUGGUGAUCAUCUCUUCAGCAUAUUUUCCGUUCUCUGAGAUAAAACGUGUUAAGCUAGCAUCUGCCUAAGUGAGAGGAGAGAAAGGGAAAGGUAGAUGGUUUAUUUGAAUCAGCUCUGUCUCUUCGAGGGGAUGAAUGACUGUCUGAAUACCUGGAUUUCACUUUCAUGUGUGUUGCAGCAUGUCCUAAAAAAACAAUCUGCUGAAAGUGGAUGAGGUCAGUGGUAUUGUUGUUAUAGGAAAUGGAGGAGAGCCAGCAGUACUUGCAGGUUUGGGGCUGCUCUUGGACAUGGGGUGUCCUGGCUAAACUCCACGAUGGUGCUGACUCUCCCUUGCUCUACCUUUUUAUCACUGCGCUGAAAACCUCAAAAGUGAGGGCUGUGGCUCCAGUGGAGUUUAGACCAGAACUAUGUUUCAAUUGGAAGAAUUUUUUUACAGACCUUGUGACUUAUGUAGCAUGUAUUGAGGUACAAGUCUCUCUUAGAGCUGGGAAUUCUCUUUGCAGUAGCUCAGCUUUGCUGUUGCAGCCCUUCGUAAGGCCUCUGCAGAAACCGUGGCCUAGGGACGGUGCACGGUGGCUUUGUUGUGGGGCUUGCCAUGUACCCAAGGGCCAGAAACCAGCUGUUCUGCUAAAGCAGAAAUAAGCUGCUUCCUCAGGAACUACUUCCAGUCCCUUCCAAAACCAUAUUUCCAGUUGUUGCUAAGAUCUUUUCCAGAUGAGUUUUUGCAGAAUUUCUGUGCUUGUCUGGGAUUUUCAGACACAUUUCUGAUCUGUCCGGUGUAUCAGGAAAACCUGACUGCAAACAGCAUUAUUGCAGUGGGCUGGAGCAUUAGCUUGCCUUUGCCAAGGCAUGCCACAUGUGUAGAAAUUUGCUACAGUGGUUUUUUAUCACGAGUUUGACAGUUCCCAGCAAAGAACAAACUUUGAUUACGCAGGGGAAUAUGUGCUGCUGCUUUAACAGGAGUAUGUUAGGACUGGUCACAGCUACUGCUCAGUGGUAAGGAUGUCCUUUUGGCUCUGUGCUCUGUUUCCAAACACAGGAAGAGGCUGAGGCCUUUGCUACCUAAAAAAAAUUACUUAACCUCUCACCAUUGUGGGGUGGUGUGGGGGGAAGCUGCCUGUGGGUUGGUGAGUUUUGUCCUGUGCAGUUCCUGUGGCUGUUGGGAUUCUUCCAUCUGUGCUUAGGCACGGGGUUCGGUAGUAUCCCAGCACAAGGUGGCUCAGUCACACACUGCAGAGCAUGGGGUGUGUAUACAGGGUACAAAUCUGUACAGCACCUUUUAAAGUAAUAUUUAGAGCAUCGUUCCAGUGUGCAUGUUUCCACGUGCUUUAUGAUUGUAAAUACGAGAAUGUUAUGUUUUUGGCAUAUUGUCUUUAUGCAGAAGAAUUAAAGACUUUAAAAAUC